rnacentral:misc_RNA from 1 species
AAAGCAACAGGAGGAGACAUUGAUGAAGGUGAAUGAUCGGGUCACAGUCAAAACGGAUGGCGGCCCUCGUCGUCCUGGCGUGGUACUGGCGGUAGAAGAAUUUAACGAAGGCACAAUGUACCUGGUUUCGCUGGAAGACUACCCGCUCGGUAUCUGGUUCUUUAAUGAGUCAGGGCACCCGGAUGGUAUUUUUGUCGAGAAA